CCUACGGGUGGCAGCAGUGGGGAAUAUUGGACAAUGGGCGAAAGCCUGAUCCAGCCAUGCCGCGUGUGUGAAGAAGGCCUUCGGGUUGUAAAGCACUUUCAGUGGGGAAGAAAGCCUUGGGGCUAAUACCCUCGAGGAAGGACAUCACCCACAGAAGAAGCACCGGCUAACUCCGUGCCAGCAGCCGCGGUAAUACGGAGGGUGCGAGCGUUAAUCGGAAUUACUGGGCGUAAAGCGCGCGUAGGCGGUCUGAUAAGCCGGUUGUGAAAGCCCCGGGCUCAACCUGGGAACGGCAUCCGGAACUGUCAGGCUAGAGUGCAGGAGAGGAAGGUAGAAUUCCCGGUGUAGCGGUGAAAUGCGUAGAGAUCGGGAGGAAUACCAGUGGCGAAGGCAGCCUUCUGGACUGACACUGACGCUGAGGUGCGAAAGCGUGGGUAGCAAACAGGAUUAGAUACCCCGGUAGUC
rnacentral:rRNA from 1 species